rnacentral:rRNA from 1 species
GGCUAACGCUGGCGGCGUGUCUUAGCCAUGCAAGUCGAGCGGACUUAUGGGGUAACUUAUAAGUCAGCGGCGGACGGCGGAGUAACACGUAGCUAACCUACCCUCUGGACGGGGAUAACCUACCGAAAGUGGGCUAAUACCCGAUGUAGUCAUCCUGUAUAGGGGUGAUGAAAGGUGGGCUUCUGUUUACAAGCUCAUGCUGGAGGAGGGGGCUGCGGCCUAUCAGGUAGUUGGUAGGGUAAUAGCCUACCAAGCCGAUGACGGGUAGCCGGCCUGAGAGGGUGACCGGCCCGAGGGGCACUGAGAUACGGGUCCCACUCCUACGGGAGGCAGCAGGCUAGAAAUUUGGGCAAUGGGGGAAACCCUGACCCAGUGACGCCGCGUGCAGGAAGGAGCCCUUCGGGGUGUAAACUGCUGUCGUGUAGGGAGAAGGGUACUAAGGUGAACAAUCUUAGUACUUGACGGUACUACAGGAGGAAGCCCAGGCUAACCUCGUG